rnacentral:lncRNA from 1 species
CAAGUUUGGAUGGAGAUGAAUCACGCUACAGUAAACACAGUCAUAUUUCCAUCCAUCAAAUCACCUCCGGCAACCUAGGGAUAUGGCAUUGCUUCUAACAUUAUUCUUCUAGCAUAGUGAUUUAACCCAUGAGAGCUCCUUGAAUGUGGCGCCCCACAGCGCGCCUGGAUGGCCGGGGCUCACGUGGCCCUGGCCAAGGAGCUUUAUUCUUAACCCAUUAGCCUUUCUAUAAUUGCCACACGUACACUACACUACACUACAAUUUCCACCGAAGAAAAACAUGGCCUCUCUGCAUUUUUCUGCUCAGUUAGUUCCGCUGCUUCAUCGUCCCUGCUCCGGACUUCACAAGCCCCCACUCUCCUUAACUUUUGGGAAAAAUUCCCCGGUGACCCACCUCAAUUUCAGGUACAUUCUUUACAGUUUUGAAUAUUUUACUUGUAGGUUAUUUUCUAUUUAUCUGGAACUAACUGCCAAUUAAUUAAAUACUGUGUCUGCCUUAUUUUGUCUUUGAAUAGGAUUUGGAUUUUGAUGGGUACUGGGUAGUCAGCUUGGGGUGGAUGUUUAUUGGAAUGAACUCUAAUUUUGCGUUGAUGCGGUCUUGAUUCAUAAUUAAGUUAUUUUUCGCUGUAUUCAGAUCUUUCAGUCUUCCUGUUUCUUUAGCGCAACCCAUUAAUCUUGUUUAUCUGAUUACAUACUUUAAUGAUUUGUUUGACCUGAAACCCUGUGGUGCUUGAUUAUUGUUCAUCUUCGCUAGGCAUUCUCGUUGUUACUAAUUAAUCAGAAUGUGGCAGCGAAUUGCUGAAUUUAGAGUUUAUAAUACUACCUAGUUGCAUAUAAAUGAUUAUGAUAUCCUAUUUCCUGGCAGUCCGUCAUAUAAAAAUAAACUGGCUAACAAUAUGUAGCUUAGAGUUUACGUUGGAUUGGCCACAAUUGUAGUAUGUGUGGGAUGGUACUGAUACUAACUAGUGACUAUUCAUCGUAUCUUUCGAGUUGAAGAGUUUUUAAGGGACAAUAUAGAGAUAUGAGAUAGCAAGGUACAAAAAGGAAACAUCUGUUAAUUAGUGAUAAAAUUGUUGCUGGGAUGUGAAAAUGAAUAAACUUUUACAAUGUUCCCCAUUAUUGGGAUGGAACCCUUUUCUCGUUCUAUGCAUCAAUCCACAGGAGGGGUAUGCAGGAGCGAAGGGGAGAGGAGGUGAUGUGGAUGGGGACUAGAUGGGGCAACAGUGACUAGAAAGAGCAAUGGAGACUAGGGGAUUGGCCACAAUUGCAGUAUGUGUGGGAUGGUACUGAUACUAAUUAGUGAUUAGUCAUCGUAUCUUUUGAGUUGAAGAGUUUUUAAGGGACAACAUAGAGAUUUGAGAAACCAAGGUACAAAAAGGAAACAUCUGGUAAUUAGCGAUAAAAUUGUUACUGGGAUGUUGUCAAAAUAAAUAAACUUUUACCAUGUUCCCCAUUAUUGGGAUGGAACCCUUUUCUUGUUCUAUGCAUCAAUCCAUGGGAGGGGUAUGCAGGAGCGAAGGGGAGAGGAGGUGAUGUGGAUGGGGACUAGAUGGGGCAACAGUGUCUGGAAAGAGCAAUGGAGACUAGGGGAUAGGCGAGGAGGUAGUGUUUUUUUUUUUUUUUUUUUUUUUUUUUUUUUUUUGAAUUAGCCAUUAUACCCUCAAAAUAGUGUGUCGUGUGCGAGGCACUUUACACUUUGUCAGGCAAAUUGUACCGAAUUUGCAGGGGGAACCCAAUGCUACAAAUUUGGAGACUGGUGACCAAAUGCCAAAAUAAAUAUUGAAAAUUGGGAGUCAAAUGCCAAGAGAAGUAGAAUAGAGAUUCAAUUGCUCAUUUGAGUAUAGAAUGAGGAUUGAAGGUGCAGAAUUUGCUUGUAUACAUGCUAGGUGUCAUUCUUAAACCGAAGGACUCUAUAGAAAUAUCACGGAAUUAUUCUCAAGAAGAGGUCUAGAAAGAGUUUCUUAUGAGUGGAAAGAGUCGUUACUUCCUGACUUCCUGUGGCCAAAUGGUCAUGAACUUGUUCAAUGCACAGGGUAGAGAAGGUGAGAGAGUCUGAGAUGCGGAGACAAAUCAAGCUAACAAAGUUUAGCAUGCUUUUGGUGUCCAAGGGUUUUGAAUUUGAAUUAAGUACCCUGAAAUCAAGUUUUACGAAAGGAACUGUGGAUGUAUCCAAAUGGGGUUUUCAGUUAAAUUAAGUUACUCAGAAAUGAAAUUUGGAUGUUAAACAUGAGCUUUAGAUUUGUGGGACUAGGUUUAGACGUCCGGAAGGGAGUUGUGGAUGUAAACCCUAGAGGAGUGCCCACUGUGUUUUGA